AUGAACGCUAGCUACAGGCUUAACACAUGCAAGUCGAGGGGCAGCGGGAUUGAAGCUUGCUUCAAUUGCCGGCGACCGGCGCACGGGUGAGUAACGCGUAUCCAACCUUCCGUACACUCAGGGAUAGCCUUUCGAAAGAAAGAUUAAUACCUGAUGGUAUGAUGAGAUUGCAUGAUAGCAUCAUUAAAGAUUUAUCGGUGUACGAUGGGGAUGCGUUCCAUUAGGUAGUAGGCGGGGUAACGGCCCACCUAGCCAACGAUGGAUAGGGGUUCUGAGAGGAAGGUCCCCCACAUUGGAACUGAGACACGGUCCAAACUCCUACGGGAGGCAGCAGUGAGGAAUAUUGGUCAAUGGACGAGAGUCUGAACCAGCCAAGUAGCGUGAAGGAUGAAGGUCCUACGGAUUGUAAACUUCUUUUAUAAGGGAGUAAACCCUCCCACGUGUGGGAGCUUGUAUGUACCUUAUGAAUAAGCAUCGGCUAACUCCGUGCCAGCAGCCGCGGUAAUACGGAGGAUGCGAGCGUUAUCCGGAUUUAUUGGGUUUAAAGGGAGCGCAGACGGGUCGUUAAGUCAGCUGUGAAAGUUUGGGGCUCAACCUUAAAAUUGCAGUUGAUACUGGCGUCCUUGAGUGCGGUUGA
rnacentral:rRNA from 1 species